GCCUCGGUAGCUCAGUCGGUAGAGCAGAGGACUGAAAAUCCUCGUGUCGGUGGUUCGAUUCCGCCCCGAGGCACCA
rnacentral:tRNA from 11 species